UCUAGCCUUCCUCCUUCCUGUGGCCUGCAAUGUGGAUGUGGUGGUGAGGUGAGCAUGACAAAAAAUAAACGAAGACCAGAGGUAGCAAAGCAACAAGAUGGAGUAGCCUGGGCUCCCAAAAAGCUGUUAUACCAUUCUUGGACUGUGAGAGUGCGGUCUGGCAUGAUUCUUUGUAACUGGCAUUGUCAAUAAACAAGAGACAGAAAGAAGAUGUGCCUGCACUCUGGAAGAGCAACAGCUGUAGAAAGGACUGAUGUGGCUGGCAGAGCUCCUGGUGAAGAGAAAUGCCUACACAGCUGGCACCUACAAAGGCCAGUUUAUGCAUUACCGUCAUUACUGCAGCUUCCCUGGGAGCCUCAGAGGGCAAACACAUGGUGUGUGUGAAAACUACAUAAAGAAUCACUAGGAUACCUGCUACAACUAGAGACGUCUGGGACUACCAGAGAUCUAUUGAAUCUGUAUCUUUGGUUUGAGAACCACCGAACAUUUCACCUUCAAUAAAUAGCAAUUUAGUAUGAAAAUA